AGGCGAAAACACGCGCUUGUAAAAAUCAAACUCGUGUAAAUUUUGUUCUUUGGGACCCUAGAGAAGAGUUUCUCAAAGUUACACCAAAAUCUAAAAUGAGACGGCAACAAUUUCUUUUUUUUUGAGACGAUUUCAUAUGGAAUGACUCAUAUUUAUUAUGGUUAUAAGUGGCCACCUCAGGAUCUUUUUACAAAUUAUAUUCGAGAUAAGAGUUGAAUUUUCCGUCAGUAAGCUGUUCAUUCUUCUCGAGAUGUUUUCAUCGCCGAUCUCCAUGCCUCCAACGUCGGCAAAACCAGUCCCUGGUAUAUUCUUUCUUCAGGUGCCUGUUGUAGUUAUCAUAUCUCAUCUUCGUCGAGAUAUUCUUCAUCGAUUCUCUUCAGUUUUGAUCGCGCCGAAACGGCUUACAUUGACGUAGAUCGUGCUGAACUAAGGAAUGACGAAAAUGCACAUCCAGCGGUGGCUGCUGGCGGUUUUAUCUAUAAUUCUCAAAUUUGCCUGGCUUGUUCAGACGAGGAAUCACCACCAGACGUCGUCUACAACCCUUGCCGGCACUGUAUUUUUUGUCAAGCAUGUCAAAGACAGUACGUGCAAAGUCUGCUUGGAGAUGGGCAAAUUUUAACAUGUAGUUACUGCCAACAAGAGGUUGUCUCAGUUGACUUGCUUAUUUAAAAAUAUUAAUCCUCAUUACUUAUUAUGUCUUUAAUUUAAAUUUAAUUUUGUUAAAGAAACUUAAAUUU